UGAGUAACACGUGAGCAACCUGCCCCUGACUCUGGGAUAACAGCCGGAAACGGCUGCUAAUACCGGAUAUGCACCAUGAACGCAUGUUCUGUGGUGGGAAAGAUUUUUCGGUUGGGGAUGGGCUCGCGGCCUAUCAGCUUGUUGGUGAGGUAAUGGCUCACCAAGGCGUCGACGGGUAGCCGGCCUGAGAGGGUGACCGGCCACACUGGGACUGAGACACGGCCCAGACUCCUACGGGAGGCAGCAGUGGGGAAUAUUGCACAAUGGGCGAAAGCCUGAUGCAGCAACGCCGCGUGAGGGAUGACGGCCUUCGGGUUGUAAACCUCUUUUAGCAGGGAAGAAGCGAGAGUGACGGUACCUGCAGAAAAAGCGCCGGCUAACUACGUGCCAGCAGCCGCGGUAAUACGUAGGGCGCAAGCGUUAUCCGGAAUUAUUGGGCGUAAAGAGCUCGUAGGCGGUUUGUCGCGUCUGCUGUGAAAACUGGAGGCUCAACCUCCAGCCUGCAGUGGGUACGGGCAGACUAGAGUGCGGUAGGGGAGAUUGGAAUUCCUGGUGUAGCGGUGGAAUGCGCAGAUAUCAGGAGGAACACCGAUGGCGAAGGCAGAUCUCUGGGCCGUAACUGACGCUGAGGAGCGAAAGGGUGGGGAGCGAACAGGCUUAGAUACCCUGGUAGUCCACCCCGUAAACGUUGGGAACUAGUUGUGGGGGCCUUUCCACGGUCUCCGUGACGCAGCUAACGCAUUAAGUUCCCCGCCUGGGGAGUACGGGCCGCAAGGCUAAAACUCA
rnacentral:rRNA from 1 species